rnacentral:rRNA from 1 species
GGAAUAUUGGUCAAUGGGCGUAAGCCUGAACCAGCCAAGUAGCGUGCAGGAUGACGGCCCUAUGGGUUGUAAACUGCUUUUAUGCGGGGAUAAAGUGAGGGACGUGUCCCUUUUUGUAGGUACCGCAUGAAUAAGGACCGGCUAAUUCCGUGCCAGCAGCCGCGGUAAUACGGAAGGUCCGGGCGUUAUCCGGAUUUAUUGGGUUUAAAGGGAUCGCAGGCUGGAUUUUAAGCGUGUUGUGAAAUGUACCGGCUCAACCGGUGAUGUGCAGCGCGAACUGGAGUCCUUGAGUGAGUAAGACGUCAGCGGAAUUCGUGGUGUAGCGGUGAAAUGGUUAGAUAUCACGAAGAACCCCGAUUGCGAAGGCAGCUGACGAGUCCUUAACUGACGCUAAAGCUCGAACGUGCGGGUAUCGAACA